rnacentral:rRNA from 1 species
CCUACGGGAGGCAGCAGUGAGGAAUAUUGGUCAAUGGACGAGAGUCUGAACCAGCCAAGUAGCGUGAAGGAUGACUGCCCUAUGGGUUGUAAACUUCUUUUAUAUGGGAAUAAAAUGUUCCACGUGUGGGAUUUUGUAUGUACCAUAUGAAUAAGGAUCGGCUAACUCCGUGCCAGCAGCCGCGGUAAUACGGAGGAUCCGAGCGUUAUCCGGAUUUAUUGGGUUUAAAGGGAGCGUAGGUGGAUUGUUAAGUCAGUUGUGAAAGUUUGCGGCUCAACCGUAAAAUUGCCGUUGAAACUGGCAGUCUUGAGUACAGUAGAGGUGGGCGGAAUGCGUGGUGUAGCGGUGAAAUGCUUAGAUAUCACGAAGAACGCCGAUUGCGAAGGCAGUUCACUGGACUGCAACUGACACUGAGGCUCGAAAGUGUGGGUAUCAAACAGGAUUAGAUACCCCAGUAGUC